AGUCACUUUUUGCGGGUGGAGCAUCUUCAAGAUUCACAAUCUUAUUUGGGCUCCAAUUUUAGCCCCAUUUGAUGAUAUGAGAAUCUGAUGAUGCUGCAGCGGCAAUAAAUGACU